rnacentral:rRNA from 1 species
UACGUAGGGUGCAAGCGUUAAUCGGAAUUACUGGGCGUAAAGCGUGCGCAGGCGGUGAUGUAAGACAGAUGUGAAAUCCCCGGGCUCAACCUGGGAACUGCAUUUGUGACUGCAUCGCUGGAGUGCGGCAGAGGGGGAUGGAAUUCCGCGUGUAGCAGUGAAAUGCGUAGAUAUCUGGAGGAACACCGAUGGCGAAGGCAGCCUUCUGGGCCAACACUGACGCUCAUGCACGAAAGCGUGGGGAGCAAACAGG